rnacentral:tRNA from 1 species
GAGGGUAUAGCUCAAGUGGUAGAGUGCGUGCUUAAGGUGCACAGGUCCUGGGUUCAAUCCCGAGUGCCUCCU